rnacentral:rRNA from 1 species
GAUGAACGCUAGCGACAGGCCUAACACAUGCAAGUCGAGGGGUAGCAUGGAAGUAGCAAUACUUUUGAUGACGACCGGCGCACGGGUGAGUAACGCGUAUGCAACCUACCUACUACAAGGGAAUAGCCCGAAGAAAUUCGGAUUAAUGCCGCAUAAUACAGGGGCACCGCAUGGUGAUAUUUGUUAAAGAUUAAUUGGUAGUAGAUGGGCAUGCGUUCCAUUAGCCAGUUGGUGAGGUAACGGCUCACCAAAGCAACGAUGGAUAGGGGAACUGAGAGGUUUAUCCCCCACACUGGUACUGAGACACGGACCAGACUCCUACGGGAGGCAGCAGUGAGGAAUAUUGGUCAAUGGGCGAGAGCCUGAACCAGCCAAGUCGCGUGAAGGAUGACUGCCCUAUGGGUUGUAAACUUCUUUUGUACUGGGGUAAAAAAGAGGACGUGUCCUUUCUUGCAAGUACAGUACGAAUAAGCAUCGGCUAACUCCGUGCCAGCCGCCGCCGUAA